GAUACCAACAGCUUCAUUGCGGGGAAAAGUGUACACAAUCAACGAAUUGAACGGCUCUGGCGUGAUGUGUUCAUGAGUGUAACUGGAGUAUACUACAACAUCCUGCACUCUCUUGAAGAACAACACAUGCUGGACAUCAGCAACAUCCUACAUAUUCUGCUGCCACUACGUUUUCCUCCCACGAAUCCAGGCCAGCCUGGAUGUUUUCUGUGAGGCAUGGGACAAACAUCCUAUUAGGACUGAGGAAAACCUGACUCCUAAUCAGUUGUGGCAGGUGGGACAGGCCCUGAAUCCCAUUGCAGAUCCUGAUCCCCAGGGUCUGUUCAUUCCGGAGAUCGAAUGGGAGGAGAGUGGAUUCAUCAACGACAUUUAUCCCAGCGUCAAUGUCCCUACUCAGGAAAGACCUCUCUCAGACCCUCAAAUGAUGGAACUGCAGGACAACAUUGAUCCACUGCAAGAGUCAGAUUGCUUUGGAAUGGACAUACAUCUCAGCACUGUCCAAUAUGUUGAGAACCUACUUCAGGCAACAUAAACACACAUACAAGUCAGUGCUAGAGUUUAGUUUAGUUUCUGGGCCAGUUAUCUUUGAUCAACCUAUGUAAUCUUAAUUUUGGUGUUCACUAGUAUGAUAGGAAG